GGUAGCUCAGUGGUAGAGUGCUUGCCUUGCAUGCAUGAAGCCCUGGGUUCGAUUCCUCAGGACCA
rnacentral:tRNA from 1 species